AACACCGGGAAACCGGUGCUAAUACCGAAUAUUGAAACAUAAGUGGCAUCACUGAGUUUUGAAAGAAUUUCGGUGGAGGAUGACUUCGCGGCCUAUCAGCUAGUUGGUGAGGUAAUGGCUCACCAAGGCAACGACGGGUAGCCGGCCUGAGAGGGCGACCGGCCACACUGGGACUGAGACACGGCCCAGACUCCUACGGGAGGCAGCAGUGGGGAAUAUUGGGCAAUGGAGGAAACUCUGACCCAGCGACGCCGCGUGCGGGAUGAAGGCCUUCGGGUUGUAAACCGCUUUCAGUAGGGAAGAAGCGAAAGUGACGGUACCUACAAAAGAAGCACCGGCUAACUAUGUGCCAGCAGCCGCGGUAAUACAUAGGGUGCAAGCGUUGUCCGGAAUUAUUGGGCGUAAAGAGCUCGUAGGUCGUUUGUUACGUCGGAUGUGAAAACCUGAGGCUCAACCUCAGGCCUGCAUUCGAUACGGGCAAACUAGAGUUUGGUAGGGGAGACUGGAAUUCCUGGUGUAGCGGUGGAAUGCGCAGAUAUCAGGAGGAACACCAAUGGCGAAGGCAGGUCUCUGGGCCAAUACUGACACUGAGGAGCGAAGGUCUGGGGAGCGAACAGGAUUAGAUACCCUGGUAGUCCAGACCGUAAACGGUGGGCACUAGUUGUGGGAACCUUCCACGGUUUCUGCGACGCAGCUAACGCAUUAAGUGCCCCGCCUGGGGAGUACGAUCGCAAGAUUAAAACUCAAAGGAAUUGACGGGGCCCCGCACAAGCA
rnacentral:rRNA from 1 species